rnacentral:lncRNA from 1 species
AUAAAUAUUGUAUUUUCCUUUCAUUUAUUCUAUUUCUAAUGCUCUUCAUUUCUUUGUGUGGCUUCUAGUUUCUGAUUACAUCCAAUUUCCUCUGUCUGAAGAACCGCCUGAAACAUUUCUCACAGAGUAAGUCUCCUGACAAUAAAUUUCUUUCCUUUUUGAUUGUCUGAGAAAGUCUUUAUUUCUUUUUCACUUUUGAAGGAUAUUUUUGGAGUGUAUAGAAGAAUUCUACGUUGGACGCUUUUUUCUCUCAGCACUUUAGAGAGGUCACUUCAUUGUCUUCUGGGUUUCAUAGUUUCUGAUGAGACAUGGCUUGAUUCUUAUCUUUGUUCCUUGAUAGAUAACUUGUCUAUUUGUUACAGGAACGUGGUCCCAAUCCGGACCCCAGAGAAAGAUCUUGGAUCUCAUGCAAGACAGAAUUCAGGGAACAUGGAUGAAGCUGGAGGCUAUUAUCUUUAACAAACUAAUGCAGGAACAAAAAACCAGAUACUGUAUGUUCUCACGUAUAAGUGGAGCUUAAUGAUGAGAACUCAUGAUUACAAAAAGAGUACAACAGACACUGGGGUCUAUUUGAAGGUGGAGGGUAGAAGAAGGGAGAGGAGAAGAAAAGAUAACUAUUCAUCAUCUGAGUGAUAAAAUCAUCUGUACAAAAAAACCCAUGACAUGAGUUGACCUAUGUAACAAACCUUUGCAUGAACAUUAGAACCUAAAAUAAACAUUUUUUUAAAAGGCAAAUGGGAGUACUCAAUUACAUUGACAUGGAUCAAACUGGGGAGAACUGAUAUUUUAACAGCAUUGAAUCUUUCAGUUCCAGAUAAUGAUAUAUCUCUAUUUAUUUACUUAGGGUUUCUUUAAUUUCUUUUAGCACUAUUCUGUUGUUUUCAGUCUUAAGG